GGCAACCUGCUGGGGUCUCCUUCCGCAUUGUGGCUGCUUUGUUCUUUCGCUCUUUGCAGUAAAUCUUGCUACUGCUCAGUCUUUGGGUCCACGCUGCUUUUAUGAGCUGUAACACUCACCGCGAAGAUCUGCAGUUUCACUCCUGAACCCAGCAAGACCACGAGCCCACCGGGAGAAACAAACAACUCCAGACGUGCUACCUUAAGAGCUGUAACACUCACCGUGAAGGUCUGCAGCUUCACUCCUGGAGCCAGUGAGCCCACGAGCCCACCGGGAGGAACGAAAGACUCCAGACGCGCUGCCUUAAGGGCUGUAACACUAACCGUGAAGGUCUGUAGCUUCACUCCUCAGCCAGCGAGACCACGAACCCACCAGAAGGAAGAAACUCCAAACACAUCUGAACAUCAGAAGGGGCAGACUCCAGACGCGCCACCUUAAGAGCUGUAACACUCACCGCGAGGGUCCGUGGCUUCAUUCUUGAAGUCAGUGAGAGCAAGAACCCACCAAUUCCGGACACACUUCCACAUCUUCAGGCAGGAUACAGUUGGAAACAUUGGUUAUAUUACUAAGGCUUUGACUGAAAUGUUAUAUUUAAGAAUAUGCAUACAAUGCCUAGCUUCAAGAGUUCCUGGCCCUACACUAAGUGAGUCAAACUUGACAUCUUUCAGCCAGGUGUGGUGGCUCAUGCCUGUAAUCCCAGCACUUUGGGAGGCCGAGGCGGGCGGAUCACCUGAGGUCGGGAGUUCGAGACCAGCCUGGCCAACAUGGUGAAACCCCAUCUCUACUAAAAAUACAAAAAGUAGCCAGGUGAGGUGGUGCGUGCCUGUAAUCCUAGCUACUCGGGAGGCUGAAGCAGAAGAAUCACUGGAACCUGGGAGGCGGAGGCUGCAGUGAGCCGAGACUGAGCCACUGCACUCCAGUCUGGGGGACAGAGUGAGACUCUGUCUCAAAAAAAACAAAAAAACAAACAACAACAACAACAACAAAAAGGACAUCUUUCACAUUUGUCCCUUUUGAUCAAGAUCUGGCAGAUCCAAGAACCUUUAAACUGCAGGAACAAUCCAGCAGGAAGAUCACUGAGCCAGGACUGAGGUGAUUUCUCAUCCCAGGUUUACCACUGACGUGUCAUGGGUCUUGAGGUAAACAACUUAAUUUAUAGGGUCUUAUCCACAGUCCACUGCAGUCCUGCUAGUCCCUGGACUGCUCAGUCUGGCAUG
rnacentral:lncRNA from 1 species